ensembl:miRNA microRNA 665
CCUGGAGGAGGGUCUCCUUGAGGGGUCUUGGCCUCUGCCCAGGACUCUUUCAUGACCAGUAGGCCGAGGCCCCUCACAGGCGGCUGCUUACUCUCC